rnacentral:lncRNA from 1 species
AACAAACAUUCCAAACUCCAAUGCCUUAUAGCAACAAACAUUUCUUUUUCUUGUCUGUGGUUCCGUGAGUAGACUAGGAUGGCAUUGCCUCAGGUGGAAAACUGGCUGGGGUUGCUCCAGGCCACAGAUCAGGUCCACAUCUGCUCCACAUCUCUCCAUGAACCAGUGGCUACCACAAGCAUGUCCUUCUCAUGGAAACUCACAAGAGCAGAAAAGGAUGAGGAAACUGAGGCUUAGAGGAGGGUGGAUCUGCUUCGAGCACUCUGCUUUAAGGACUCAAUGAAGAUACCGCAAUGUCCGAUCUAUACUGACACUCCACUGCAGAACAGCCCAUUCAAGGAAGUGUGAGCUUCUUUUCCCACCUCCCCUCUUCUUUGGACUCUAGGAAGGAAAUAGUUCAGGGAAAUGGUGUGACUUCAGGUCCAAGACUUACCCAUGAAGGACAAAAUCACAGCUCCUCCCCUUUCCCCCAUGAGACAGUCUGUCAAUAGAGUGUGAACUAAGAAAAAUCUCUGCAGUCAAAAUGGGGUGAACAUGGCAGAUAAAUUACCUCUUAUCUUUAGUUCCACUUCCUCUCCUAAUGAAUAAAUGAGUAAAUCAAUAGAUCCCUGCA